CCUACGGGGGGCAGCAGUCGAGAAUCAUUCACAAUGGGGGAAACCCUGAUGGUGCGACGCCGCGUGGGGGAAUGAAGGUCUUCGGAUUGUAAACCCCUGUCAUGUGGGAGCAAAUUAAAAAGAUAGUACCACAAGAGGAAGAGACGGCUAACUCUGUGCCAGCAGCCGCGGUAAUACAGAGGUCUCAAGCGUUGUUCGGAAUCACUGGGCGUAAAGCGUGCGUAGGCUGUUUCGUAAGUCGUGUGUGAAAGGCGCGGGCUCAACCCGCGGACGGCACAUGAUACUGCGAGACUAGAGUAAGGGAGGGGGAACCGGAAUUCUCGGUGUAGCAGUGAAAUGCGUAGAUAUCGAGAGGAACACUCGUGGAGAAGGCGGGUUCCUGGACAUUAACUGACGCUGAGGCACGAAGGCCAGGGGAGCGAAAGGGAUUAGAUACCCCAGUAGUC
rnacentral:rRNA from 1 species